rnacentral:rRNA from 1 species
UGCCUGCGGAGGCCUAACCAUGCAGUCGAACGGCAGCACAGAAGAGCUUGCUCUUUGGGUGGCGAGUGGCGGACGGGUGAGUAAUGUCUGGGAAACUGCCCGAUGGAGGGGGAUAACUACUGGAAACGGUAGCUAAUACCGCAUAACGUCGCAAGACCAAAGUGGGGGACCUUCGGGCCUCACACCAUCGGAUGUGCCCAGAUGGGAUUAGCUAGUAGGUGGGGUAAUGGCUCACCUAGGCGACGAUCCCUAGCUGGUCUGAGAGGAUGACCAGCCACACUGGAACUGAGACACGGUCCAGACUCCUACGGGAGGCAGCAGUGGGGAAUAUUGCACAAUGGGCGCAAGCCUGAUGCAGCCAUGCCGCGUGUAUGAAGAAGGCCUUCGGGUUGUAAAGUACUUUCAGCGGGGAGGAAGGCGGUGAGGUUAAUAACCUUGCCGAUUGACGUUACCCGCAGAAGAAGCACCGGCUAACUCCGUGCCAGCAGCCGCGGUAAUACGGAGGGUGCAAGCGUUAAUCGGAAUUACUGGGCGUAAAGCGCACGCAGGCGGUCUGUUAAGUCAGAUGUGAAAUCCCCGGGCUUAACCUGGGAACUGCAUUUGAAACUGGCAGGCUUGAGUCUCGUAGAGGGGGGUAGAAUUCCAGGUGUAGCGGUGAAAUGCGUAGAGAUCUGGAGGAAUACCGGUGGCGAAGGCGGCCCCCUGGACGAAGACUGACGCUCAGGUGCGAAAGCGUGGGGAGCAAACAGGAUUAGUCCUGUUUGUUAACAACAA